GUGUCAGGAAAUCGUCACCCACCAUGAUUGUGCCCACAGAAAGGGACUGAGCUCUGUGCCUACCCUGGGAGGACCUCUGCCCUCCUGAGCUGCCCAACAGGAUGUGCUCACCGGGGGAGGUGGCUGCACUGCACAGACUUCACUGCCACGGUUCCGCCCAAAUAGCCCUAUGCUCACCCCAGAGGGGGUGCCCCAAGCACUGACCCCAUGCAGCCCUGGUGCAGCACAUCACAAGAGGAGCAGCCCAUGGGGAACCUCCACCCAGCAUCUCUCUGUGCCUGCCCGGACAGCAACACUCAAUGUGGCUGUAGCAGCUGUGGUGGCAGCAUGGCGCGAGUGGGGGGCCAUGGCCCUGCCCAUCUCAUCCUCUUCCUCGUACUUACCGCUGUGUGUUCCUGGGAGACCUGUGCUGCUCCAUGGCGAGCACCAGGAGCAGAUGAUGACUUUGGUGCUCCCUAUCCAGAUGAUCAUCUGAAUCCAGAUUUUGUGCUUCAGGGGAAGCCCAGAGGUGUGACUGGAGGUGAAGGUGAUCCAGCUUCCCCUCUGACUUUCAGGACUGAAACUCUGUCAGAUCACAUGGAUAUGUCAUGGCUUUUUAGAUCCUUUGACAGCUGACAGCUCAAAGGCCAAACAUCAGCCAGGUCUCUCCACAGAUGUGAGAGCGUAGUCCUGUGUGUGUAUGUCUUUUCAUUGCACAAUCCCCUGGUAUGCUCCGCUAUGCAGUUAUGCCGUUGUGUAUGCUGGAAUCUUUUCAUAGGUCUUUGGUUGCAGAAGUGCCCCCAGGGAGGGCCUUGCAAAGUCCUCAGCUCUUUCCUGUGCUGUAGUCCAGCUGGAAUCCCAGGGGUGAAUAGUUUAUCUUUACUGAAUUCACUGACUCACCACUGGUCUUCCAAACUUCAUGCACAGCAGAUUUAACUUCAUAUGUUCUGUUAAGGUCUGGAAAGAGGAAAAGAUACAUCUAGAAAAGGAAAAUACUCACAGAGCUCAUCUCCUGUCCUAAAGGAACUCCAGAAGGAAAUGGAGAAGGCAGUGCGUGGUGGGUGUACUUCAGUCUGUUCACUGUGAGACUUGGGAAGCUGAGGUCUGAUGUACAUGUGUGGACAAGCUGUAGCUUGCAUAGCAGGAAGGGAUUGCUCAGAGCUGUGCUGUGGUGAUGUUAAGUGUAACACCUUGCAGGCGCUGGCAAGCACCAGAGAUAGUCUGCUGCCAUUUCUGCAUCAAGCCAAGACCCAGGGGCAGCUGCUACACCAGCACUGCCAUUACUUGUCAGAGCUGCUUUGCACAGACCUUGGCACCCAGAUGGCAGGAACUGGUGAGUGCUGUGUUUUCGUUCAUGCAUAGCCCUCCUUGCAACUUGGCAAGUUCAAGGUAGGAUGGGCAUCUCAAGCAGUGAUGGCUGCCUUUCCUAAUGCUGGAAACCAGGUGGAGAUGCUGAUUCUGGAGGCAUUUCUGUUGGAACUUGAAUUUCAGCCUGCAGAUGCCUGGCUGUGAUGGGUGGAACAUUGAUGAUGCUCACAGCACAGUGUGUGAGGGCCUUGUGUAGGAGCUGGUUCCUAGGAGGUGUGAGAGGGCCAGCACCCUUCAGUUCCCAGGAGGGCAGAGUGCCCUUGGGCAA
rnacentral:lncRNA from 1 species